rnacentral:rRNA from 1 species
UACGUAGGGGGCGAGCGUUGUCCGGAGUUACUGGGCGUAAAGCGUGCGCAGGCGGUUCGUUGUGUCGGUGGUGAAAUCCCCGGGCUUAACCUGGGAAUGGCCAUGGAAACUGGCGAACUGGAGUGCGGCAGAGGGGGGUGGAAUUCCGCGUGUAGCAGUGAAAUGCGUAGAGAUGCGGAGGAACACCGAUGGCGAAGGCAGCCCCCUGGGCUAGCACUGACGCUCAGGCACGAAAGCGUGGGGAGCAAACAGG